rnacentral:lncRNA from 1 species
CUUGUCCAAACUUGAUUCAAGGUUAGUUUUUGCUCGGUUUUUGAUAAUUUCUACGUUUUUGAGAUCGUUGCUUCGUAUACUAUCCGACCCAUGCUAGAAUUUUUGAUUUUGAUGAAUAUUUUGAGUUAGGACAUUGAUGAAUAUUUGUGUUUUGUGAUGUUUGAUGAUGAAAUAUGAAAGAUAUGUUUUAGAUUAACAUGUUUUGUAUGGGAGUUUUUGAUGAUUUUGAGUAAUUAGGACUAAAUUGUAAAAUAAUAAAUUGAGGGACUAAAAUGUGAAAUAAAUGAAAUAUAUGGACUAGUAUGAGUAUAAGGAAGAUUUGGCCUAACUAUGUUGUUGUGAGAUUUUGCAUAUUUUGUGUUUUAUGCAAUAGGGAUUAAAUUGUGAAAAAGUGAAAUAUCAGGGGUAAAAGUGUAAUUUGCCCAUUUGUGUGUUUUUGGAUGAAUUUUAUUGAAUAUUUGAUUAAAUAAGUUUAAUUUAUAUCAAUUUAGAUCAAGAAAAGAGAAAAUCGGAUUUGGAUCUGGGGAAGACCAAAAUAGUCGAGUAAUCGAUUAAUACUGGUCGUCGAUAUUCGAGGUAAGUCUUUAAGCAAUUAAACAUCGUAUAUUUUGAAUGUAAUUAAGAUUAAUAUGCUGAUUUGGAAUUCCUGGAAUUAUAGUAAAGAUAGCCGAAUAUGAUAAAGCAUAGAAAUAAUGUAUUUGAGUUUAAUUCGAUUGAGUUAUAACAAUUUGAAAG